AUUGAACGCUGGCGGCAUGCCUUACACAUGCAAGUCGAACGGUAACAGAUCUUCGGAUGCUGACGAGUGGCGAACGGGUGAGUAAUACAUCGGAACGUGUCUAGUAGUGGGGGAUAACUACUCGAAAGAGUGGCUAAUACCGCAUGCGAUCUACGGAUGAAAGCAGGGGAUCGCAAGACCUUGUGCUACUAGAGCGGCCGAUGGCAGAUUAGGUAGUUGGUGGGAUAAAAGCUUACCAAGCCGACGAUCUGUAGCUGGUCUGAGAGGACGAUCAGCCACACUGGGACUGAGACACGGCCCAGACUCCUACGGGAGGCAGCAGUGGGGAAUUUUGGACAAUGGGCGCAAGCCUGAUCCAGCAAUGCCGCGUGCAGGAUGAAGGCCUUCGGGUUGUAAACUGCUUUUGUACGGAACGAAAAGCCCCGGGUUAAUACCCUGGGGUCAUGACGGUACCGUAAGAAUAAGCACCGGCUAACUACGUGCCAGCCGCCGCCGUAA
rnacentral:rRNA from 1 species